GCCGGGCGCGCCCCGCGCGUACCUGAAGGAAGCGGAUGAGGUAGCACAGCACCAGGCGGUUGAUGCGGGGCAGCGCGUGCACCACAGCCACGGCGGCCUCGGGGCUCUCGUAGUGCGCGAUGCACUGCUCGUAGAACUCGUGCGGGAUCAGGGGCUCCUCCAACUCCCGGUACCACAGCUUCAGUAGCGAAGCUGUGGACACAGUGCGGGGUGCCGCUCAGCGCGGCCUGCAGGGCGGGCACCCUCCCACAGGGGGCGGUGCGGACCGGAAAGGGUCGCCGGGCCUAGGUAGGCUGCACAGACCCAGGCCCUGGUGGAUCGUGCAGGGGUGAGGGCAGGUGCAGGCAAGGCCCGAGGGAGGCCCCCGGGGGGCCGUGCGUCCUAGCCGAAUGGGGGCUCACCAGGGACGUGGGGAUCCUCCAGGCCUGUGGGCACCUUCCACUGGUCCACCUGCAGCUUCAGGGCGUUCACCUCAUCAAUGUCCCCGGGCACUCUGUGGAGCAAGGGUGGGUCUCACCGAGGAGGACUCUGCCUUGCCCUGCGUCAGGCUCCUCCCCAUGCGGCCGGCCUCUCUUCCAUCGGGGAGAGAGACAGCCGCCGGCCCCCCGAUGCCUUCAUCAGUGGGGCCACUGAGGCUCAAACCCACAAGCCUCACUUCCCAGCUCUCCUCUCGGGGAGUGAGUCCUGACAGCAGGUAGCAGGCCCUGUGCUAUUCCCCAUGGGGCAGGGACUGUCAUCCCUAUUCAUAGGUGAGCACCACCUGCUGGCUGCCGCCCAGACUCCUGUUGCAGGCCCUGCCUAGGGUCCCUGCCAUUCAAGUGCCCUCUGGGACCCCACUGGCCAUCUUUACAGAGGCAUCAUCCCCGGUUGACCCUCCUAAGUUCAGGCAUGCUGACACCCGGGGUGGGGGUUCCUUGACUUGCCCCCUGGGGAUGGGGACCUGCCCUGCCUUUCCAGGCUGCACAAUGGCCUGUGAGCUCCAGGGUGUUCCUCCCACCCACAGGACAGCCUCUUGUGGGGUCCCCUCUGGCUAUCCCCAGACAGGGGCAUGGGUCUCCUGGCCCCAAAACCCAGGGCUGGGGCAGGGAAGGAGGCCCGGUGGUCCUGGUGCCUGCCUGAGACAGCAGACACACCCGAGGCCUCACACCCGGGCCCCAGGUAGCAGGGCACCUGAAGAUGCCUUCCGUCUGGUCGCCGUUGAGCGCUAGCACCUCCUCAGACAGACGUGUUUGUACCCAGGGCAGCUGCCGAUCAGGGUAUCGCUCCUUCUGCAUGCUCAUGACCUCCUGCAGGGCACUGCCAAACAUGGACGGGCUGAACACAGCAUUCUUGGCGUGCCGGAUCUCCUCCACAUUGGGCUUCUUCAGCCCCUGCAAAGACAGCCCAGCGCUCUGACCUGGAAGCAGGUUCUUGUGCAGGAAGCACAAAGGGGUCCUCGGACCUGGGUCUUAGCCCAUGAAAAUCUUCGUCUGAGUGGUCAUAGGACCGUGUCGUCACCGAGCGCUCUCAUAUGCUGCGUCACUGGGGAGCAAACAGAGCCGUGAGGACCACAGAACACAAAGUCGGGCGUGUCAGCCCACGCCGCCCGCCGCAGCCGCAGCCGCAGCCGGGGGGGCCCCUCAGGACUCCUCACAGGGACACGGCCCGGUGGGGUCCCGGGCUGGCGGGGUCCUGGGCUGGCGGGGCUGCUCCUCGCGCGCAGGCGGGCGGGGGAGGGCCAGGGGGGCGCCUCCCAGCUGUCUGCCCUCGGGGGUCUCAGGCUCCUGGCCGGGCCGGGGGCAGGGUGCGGAGCCCCCCAGCAGCCUCUGGGCCUGACCUGCGCUGCCAGCACUCCGCACUCCGCACACAGCACCCCAGCAGGGCGGCCCUCCACGCCUGCCCCCGGAGGCUCUUCUCCGACUGCGAAGGCAGCCUGCCACCUAGUCGCCCCCCAGGGCGCGCGGCCCGCCCAUUGAGGCACUCCCGCCAGCAGCAUGCCCCUGUGGACGGGCCACGGCACCCAUGGCUUAGGAAGCAGCGUCUUCAGGUUCUGCUCGCUCGGGCCGCAGGGAGCCUGUGGCCGGCUACUCCGGCGACCCCGCGGCUUCUCCGCGGCCGGUGCCUUGGACGGAGAACAAUGCAGGAGCCAGGCCUGGGGGUGCGGCGCUCCCCGCCCUUGGGGCGCCCACAGAGGCACGGCUCCGCCCAUAUACACCUCCCUCCAGGCCCCCCGCGGGCUGGGACCGCCUGUCUCUGGUGAGCAUCUCCCGAAGAGCAGGAGCUCCAGGGCAUCGAGGGUUUCCUCUUGCACAGACUGCUUCUGGCAUCACACCUAGAAACCCCGGCCCAGCUCGAGAAGAAGCGUCUAUGUUUCGUUCUAGCUUUACAGUUUCUAGGGUUUAUGUUUUGGUUUGUGAUAUUUUGAGCUAGUUUUUGCAGACAGCACAGAGUAGGAGGCUCAUCCUUGAAGUUCAUCUCUUUUUGCGUUUGGCCACCAGCUGUCCCGGCACCAGAGGCAGGAGGCAAUGCCCUUUCUUCACGGAGGUGCCUCUGCAUCUCUGUGCAAAAUAGUGCACCACGUAAGUCUCGGUUGAGUUUUGGACUCUGUUCUGCCCCACGGAUCUACCUUUACAUCAACAGCUUAUUCUCCUGGCUCCUGGAGCUCAUGACAAGGCUUGAAGCAGGAUAUGGUCAGUCCACCAACCUCCCUCUUCUUUUUCAAAGGUUAUUGUGGCCAUUCUAGGUCCUUUGCAUUUUCUAUGGAUUUUAGAAUCAGCCUAUUGAUUUCUAAAUUAAAAAGAAAAACUAUUAAGAUUUUGGUUAGGGUUGAAUCUGCAUCUAUUUAGGUGGAAGUAAAAUCUUGAUACAAGUGAGUCUUCUGAUUCAUGAAUAUGGUAUUUCUCUCCACCUCAGGCCUUCCUGACUUGCAGUAACAUUUGGGAGUUUUCAGCAUAGAACUCUCAGACAUCUUUUGUCAGACUUAUCCCUAAGUAUCUUAUUUUUAUUUUUAUUUUAUUUUUUUUUAGUAUCUUAUUUUUAAAUGCUACUGUGGAUAUAUAUUUUUUUAAGAUUUUAUUUCAAACUAAUCUCUACAGCCAAUGUAGGGCUCAGACUCACAACCCCAAGGUCAAGGGUCACCUGUUCCACCUGCUGAGCCAGCCAGGCGCCCCGAGAUGGUAUUUUUAAAAUGUCCAUUUCCAGUAGUUUGUUGCUACUAUGUAGAAACACAAUUAACUUCUAUAUAUUGGUCUUGCAUCCUGCAAACUUGCUAUUCUCACUUACUAUAGUAUUUUUAUAGGUCCGUGGAAGACUGUGUGGUCUGUGAAUAGACACAAUUGCACACUUCCUUCCCCUUCUGGAUGCCUUUUAUUUCUUUUCCAUGACUUUGCACUGGCUAGGCCCUCUGGCAUCACGUGGAGCAGGUGCAGGGGGGCUGGAGGUCCUUGCCUUGUUCUCGAUCUUGGGGGAAAGCAGUCUUUCACCAUUAAGUAUGAUGCUACCGGGGCACCUGGGUGGCUCAGCAGUUGAGCGUCUGCCUUUGGCUCAGGUUGUGACCCCGGGGUCCUGGGAUCAAGUCCCGCAUUGGGUUCCCCACAA